rnacentral:lncRNA from 1 species
CAAGUGGGGAGGAGUACCAGAUAAAAAGGAACCAGUAUUACCACAAUAUGUCAUAUGUGAUUAUUCAGAUUUUGUUGAAAGUAAAAUAUAUGUAAAUAAAUUUCGAUUUAAAUUAUACGAUCCACUUUAUCAAUUAGGUAAAUAUAGGAAUUGUGCUGGUGUUAUUUUAAAAAAUAACUUAAAAAAAAAUUCACUUAAUUAUAUAGAUUCCUAUUUUUUAUUUUUAAAAAAAGAAUUAUAUCAGAUAGAUUUGGAUAUAGAUAUUAGAUGUCCAUGUAAACAAAUUUUUAAACAUGUAUGUUAUAAAAUGAACAUAGAUCCAACACAUAUAUUAAUAUAUCCUCAUCCUCCAUUAAAUAUGUCAGUUAAUUUUAGUCCAUAUAACAUAGAUUCCUUUACAUAUGCUUCUAAUACACAUACAGACCCAAAUAUCAACAAUAUGAACAAUAAUAGUAUAAAUAAAGGUGAUAAUAAUUACAUUAAUAAUAAUAGUGAUGAUCCAGAUGAUUCAGAUAAUAGACCCACAGAUAAUAAAUAUAGUAAUAAUGCAUGUUUGAAAUUAGAAACUUUUGAACAAUUAAUAAAAAAACAUGCUAUACUAAUGGAACAUAACUCGCUAAUAGAACAAAAAACUUUUUGUUUAUCAUUAUUACCAUUUCAUUAUAAAUAUUUUAAUAGAUUAUAUCCACCUGAAAAACCCCAAUAUUUUUAUUAUAUUAUUCAGCUAUUCAAUUCACAUGUACAAUCCGUAGCUUCAUUUAGUGGUCAUAUUCAACUAAAAACAAAAAUAAGCAACAAAAUCAGAUCGAAUAUUCUUAAGUAUGGCAAAAAAAUAGAUAAACAAAGUAAUGGCACUAGUAAUGGCACUAGUAAUGGCACUAGUAAUGACACUAGUAAUGGUACUAGUAAUGGUACUAGUAAUGGUACUAGUAAUAGUAACAGUCUAAGUGAUUAUAGUAACAGUAAUGACAGUAGUGACAGUAGCGACAAUAGCAGCAUUAGUGAUAAUGAUUCUUUAACUAGUUCAAACUCAUAUGAUAGUAUAAAUCCACAUAAUAAAAAUCAUAAACAAAAUAAAUAUACAACAGUACAAGAUCUGAUUGAUAAAAUAAAAUUAGAAAUGAACCCAUAUUUAAAAAAAAGAGGUAUAAAUGCAAAACAAAAGUUUAGAUUGUUAUUUACAUAUGGACCUAAAAUUAAAUAUAUAGAUAAUGAUGAAAAACUAAUAACAAUGGACAUUGUUAAAACGAGUCAAAUCAAAAACGCUUAUAUUACUCCUUUAAGAAUGGAACCAGAUUUUACUGAUGAGGAAAAGCAGAAAAUAGAAACUCAUAAGUUGAAGGUAUUUGUCUAUAACUGCUUGUUUGUAUAUAUAUAUAUAUAUAUAUAUAUAUAUAUAUAUAUAUCCAUUUGCCUUUUAAUUUAUCAGUUUUUACAUUCAUUUUGUGUUUUACCUAGUCUGUGACCCCCUUAAAUUGUUCCUUUUUGUCCCAUUUAUUUUAUCUUAUUUUUCAUCUUUUUUUUCAUCUUUU